GAACUCGGCAACUGUUUAGAGUUGAGAUCUUAUUUCUGUGCGUGAGCAGUCAAAAAGGGAAUGUUCAGUUUGAGCUUGAAGUAUGUUGCUUUUUGAUAUACUUGUGUUGUGCAGAGUUGAAGCCAACUUUUGUAAGUUUGUGGCAUUUAAAAGCGUGUCUAGUCGCUUUUGUUGCGGGCAUAUCCUUGUUGCACACCGUUUGGAUACCCUUUCGAAGGAUACUCGAACUUGCAAAUCAAAUAUGUAACGCCUUGAGGUCCGAGUCCAUAAGAAUAGAAUAGAUGGGAAAAUCCAAUGCAGAAUACCUAUAGAUCUCCUUGGAAAUUAUCAAACGAGUUUUUGAAGAAUUUCUUAUUCGUCAGAUAUAUGUUUCAUGAGCAGCAACUAGGAAUCUCAUUACGCUCCUAUCAAAGAAGCAACCAAUCUGUAACUGACAACUAAAUCUUAUUGGAAUCAUUAUUUGACUCAUCCUACAGGGUAUUCAAAGCACACAAAUCCUUCGUGGGAAGCCAUACGAAACUCAAACUCAAACAGCUCAACGGACGCGGCUCAGCACAUGACGAGCUGAUGAUAACGAUGAUGUUGUCAGUUGUCGCUGCAUGUUGCAUGUUCCUUCUUGUUGCAGUUGUUGCUGUUGUUGUUGUUGUUGUUGUUGUGGCUUUGAUGGCUAGACGAAAGCCAAACCCAACUAAACUAUUUUUUGUUGGCUGACCAGACGGGCGUUACGCUGAUUAGGAGGGGGUUGAAAGCUCUCUUUCUCUCUUUCUUUUUUUUUGCAUUACAUUUGCCUGGCGUGGCAUGUGGCAAUCAGCACAACAACAACAACAACAGUGAGGGAAAAACCCGAAGAGUGCCCAGUGAAAAUUUAUAUUGAGUCGAGCGUAAAAAUAACAA